GGGCGUGUCCCGUAGUGGUCUAUCGGGUCGGCCUUAAGUUCUUGUUAAAUGAAAUCCGAUGUUUUUAACUCGCCGGUUCAAAUCCGGCCGCGCCCA